UAUUGUGGGCACCAGAACUGGAAUCAGUAAUCCAGCAGCUGUUGUACCAGUGCCGAAUCCAGGGGUAAGAUACCUUUUCUGCUCCUACUCGAGAUUCCUGUUUAUGCAUCCAAGCAUUCAUUGCCUUAGUUCUUUUGGCCACAGUGUCGCAUUGGGAGCUGAUAUUCAGCUAAUUAUCUGUCACAACCCCCAAAUCUCUUUCAGACUCACCGCUUCUCAGGAUAGCAUCCCUCAUCCUGUAAGUAUGGCCUACAUCCUUUGUUCCUAGAUGUGUACUUUUACAUCCAUAUUGUAUGCGUGCGCCCAGUUUACCAAGUGAUCCAGAUCACUCUCUAUCUGUGACCUGUCCCCUUCACUACUUACUCUCCCCCAAUUUUUGUAUCACCUGCAAACUUUAUCAUUGAUGAUGUUAUGUUUUCUUCCAGGUCAUUGAUAAAAGAACCAGUCCCUGCAAGACCCCCACUAGAAACAUAGCCACUUGAAAUGUGUUCUUGCUUUCAGCAAAAAGAUGAUGGACUGGUAGCCACAGAAAACCCAUGCUUGGGGUUUGAAGUACUGUUCAACAGCCAGAGCCCUUGUGGAGUGAGGGCUGUUUUCUGUUCAAGCUCCUCAUUCGAAUACACAAGUUGGCUUGAGAUUGAUUGCUAGCAGAAGCCAUAAAUCACAAUCGCAGCAUCUAACAAUGGAUUUUGAAGGCCAGUCAAAAAGUGCCUCCUCGGAGUAUUUGUCCCUUGCAAAUGCAGAGAACCUGGAUGAUGAACAAUUAGUGCACCUGCUUCAUGUUCCCCAGCUUUUCUCUGCAACCACGAGGGCUGGAGAUGUCCUGUCUUUUCUAAAUGAAGGCUGAGAUUCUCUUGACUUCAGCAGCUGAGGCUUUAAGAAAAACACCAAAUAUCAUGAGAAUUGCAAGCAAAGCGUGAGAGCUGACACCACUGAUCAGCUAAAACACCUCUCACU